CUGACUUUUUCAUAGGACAGUUGGCCGGUGAAUCUUAUUAAUAGUUUACCACAAAUAAGUGUUCAUUUUUAGUCUAGAAGGGACAGGCGUUUAUUGUGCAUUGGCCAGUGCCAGCACAUCCGAUGCAAGGCAGUUCACCGUAUUCUAUCUUUAAUUUUUACCAUGGUCCUCUGAGGUAGGUGUUCUUAUCUCUCUCUCUCUCUCUCUCUUUUAAACAGAGGAAGACAAACAUAAAGAUGAAGUGCUUAAUUCAAGGUCACACAAUGUCGGGGAUGGACCUCCAGAUUUCCUUACUGACCUGCAUUAUCUUGUGGAUACCUGAGUGAAUUCCACACCACCCAUUUUAUAGAUGAAACCACUGAGACAUGGAGCAACUGACUGAGUAGUCACUGCCCCACCCCUGCCUGGAGCCUCACACAUGACUCGUC
rnacentral:lncRNA from 1 species